CUUGUCACCAGCACCUGGCACAGUUCGCAAAGGUUGGGUCCUGGCUGAGGUUGUCGAGAAAGAAUUCUGUCAAGCACGCAAGCCACAGAACCGAUAUCGAGUGCCCGCUGGAACCCGCUUCUACCGGGUCAAGGCAAAGCCGUGGGACAAGGAGGCUGCUGUGCGUCGCGAGCAGCAGCGGCGGUCGUCGCUCCGCAGUCUCACUCAGUCAUCAUUCAUCACUGCCAGCUCCGCCGCCGAGGAAGUGGCACCGCCGCCGCCUGCCCAAUCGGAGGCCGCCUCCGCCGGAGAGCCCUACCCGCAACCCCUCGAUUCCUAAGUUGUCCGCACUCUUAAAAGACACACUUCAAGGACUCCUGUUGUUGUUUUUGCAGUGUACCCAUGUGGUGCCCCUUUUUUUCAUUGUUUUCGGUUCACUGCUGUUUCCCCCGUUGUGGCCACCCCAUUUGGCCAACGGCUGGCCAUUUUUUUUCGUGGCAAAAUUCUUUCGUUCCUUGCUGUACAUCCACCAACCCCUGUUUUCACUGUGCCCCAGGCCUGCAAGUGACGCUGGCUUCCCAGUUUUUAGGAGUGCUCAACACAAGAUAGCUGCGUGCGGCACUCUUCGGCAGUGUUGCUUGCUGUAGGCACCCCUUCUACUAGCUGGCUGGCUUCAUGAUGUCCAUAGCAGUCCGUAAUUUAAUCUGAAAUCAUGCGUAUUGACACAUUGAUUUGGCUGCGGGAUAGGGUUUGGACGAAUUGCUGUGAUCCGAGCGCUCGUGACUUUUCUCCCAGCAAAAGUGUUCAUCAGCCUCUCUAUUUUCAUCUUUUUAUUUGUACCUGCCCUGUAGGCAUUUUAUUUACAAGGCCUUGUCGUGGUUUGUCCAGAGCACAAGGUGGGUUUGCGACAACUGCUGCUAACCUGUCUCCACAGUUGGCCCCUUCUUUUUUUUUUCUUUUUUUUUUUGUGUGACGACGGCUUGCUUCAAAGGCACGGGCCUUAUCCUCCUGCUUCAGCAAUCUUGCACUUUCUGCACAAUCAGCAUUCUCUGCUGUGCACCCAAGGCAUAGCACCGUGCCAGAUAUAAGUUGUGGGAGGAAUAUAAACAUCUAAUAGAUGCUUAAUAGACGUAAAAGAAAUGUCUAAAAGUAGACAUCUCGACGUCUUUUAGAUGAAUCGUGCUGCUCGUGUUACACCCUGCACCUUGUUCAGAGGGGUGAUGAGCACGACCAAAUCGUCUUGGAGAUGGCAGAGGUGUGCCAUGGCUAGCAUACUGAGCAGUUUGUGGACUCGGCACUAUUAGAAGUGCUGUACAAUUUUAAACACAGGUUGCGGCUUAUUCAUAAGGAACGAGAA
rnacentral:lncRNA from 1 species